CAUCCCAGUUCAUCCCAGUCCCUCCCUGUCCCUCCCAGUCCAUCCCAGUUCAUCCAGUCCCUCCCAGUCCCUCCCAGUUCAUCCCAGUUCAUCCAGUCCCUCCCAGUCCCUCCCAGUUCAUCCCAGUUCAUCCCACUCCCUCCCAGUCCCUCCCAGUUCAUCCCAAUCCCUCCCAGUUCAUCCCAGUUCAUCCCAGUCCCUCCCAGGUCCAUCCCAGUCCCUCCCAGCACCUCCCAGUCCCUCCCAGUUCAUCCCAGUGCUCUCCCAGUGCUUCCCAGUUACCCCCAGUGCCUCCCAGUCACUUCCCAGUUGCUGCCAGUAACCCCCAGUCCCCUCCCAGUAUAUCCCAGUAACCCCCAGUACAUCCCAGUGCCAUCCCAGUACAUCCCGAUGCCAUCCCAGUAUAUCCCCAUAACCCCCAGUACAUCCCAGUAACCCUCAGUGCCCUCCUGGUCCCUCCCAGUCCCUCCCAGUACACACCAGUCCGCCCCAGUCCCCUCCCAGUAUGUCCCAGUAUCCCUCAAGCACCCUCCCAGUCUCUCCCAGGUCCCUCCAGUAUAAACCAGUGACCCUCAAAUCCCCUCCCAUCACCUCCCAGUCCCCUCCCAGUCCCUCCCAGUAUGUCCCAGUAUCCUUCAAACACUGUCGCAGUACAUCCCAGUGCCCCCCAGUCCCUCCCAGUAUAAACCAGUGACCCUCAAAUCCCCUCCCAGUCCCCUCCCAGUACACACCAGUCCCUCCCAGUCCCCUCCCAGUCCCUCCCAGUAUAAACCAGUGACCCUCAAAUCCCCUCCCAGUGCCUCUCAAUGCC